AAAUUACUUCCUCCGUCCUAAAAUUCUUGUCUUAAAUUUGUUUAAAUAUGAAUGUAUCAAGUCACAUUUUAGUAUUAGAUACAUCCGUAUCUACACAAAUAUAAGACAAGAAUUUUGGCACGGAGGAAGUACAUG
rfam:Triticum aestivum genome assembly, contig: Triticum_aestivum_CS42_TGACv1_scaffold_569176_7AS